rnacentral:rRNA from 1 species
GAUGAACGCUAGCGGCAGGCUUAAUACAUGCAAGUCAAGGGGGUAGCAAUACAACCGGCGCACGGGUGAGUAACGCGUACACAACAUACCAUAUACUGGAGUAUAGCUUUGGGAAACUGAAGGUAAUCCUCCAUAACAUUGCGAGAGGGCAUCUGAUUGCAAUUAAAGUUCCGGCGGUAUAUGAUUGGUGUGCGUUUGAUUAGCUAGUUGGUAGGGUAACGGCCUACCAAGGCGACGAUCAAUAGCUGGCGUGAGAGCGCGACCAGCCACACUGGAACUGAGACACGGUCCAGACUCCUACGGGAGGCAGCAGUAGGGAAUAUUGGACAAUGGGCGAAAGCCUGAUCCAGCCAUGCCGCGUGAUAGAUGAAGGCCCUCUGGGUUGUAAAUAUCUUUUAUCUGGGAAGAAACUCCUCUAUUCUUAGAGGCCUGACGGUACCAGAGGAAUAAGCACCGGCUAACUCCGUGCCAGCAGCCGCGGUAAAG